UGCUUAUAGAGGGAGAAAGGAAAAAGGGCAAGACAUGAAUACCAUGUGAUAAUGGUGUGAAUGUGAUAUGUGUGCUUAUGUGAACUUUUGAUUGAUAUAAAAAAAAACAUGGUGAUUACCUCAUUUACAUUUUAGUCCUCAUUUCCAUGAUUCAGUGCAGGUUUCAUCAGUUAUGUUUUUACUGUAAUAUACUAGUACAUGUACCUGUAUUUGUUUGUAGAUAUGUUAUAGUCUGUAUACAUGCAUGUAGCAAGCCAGGUGAAGCUCUUAUUUAUUUUCUAAAUAUUCAUAUUUGAAAAUUCAUCCAAUUGUCCAUUACAUUUCAACAGCAAUAGUUCUUUUUUCAGAUGGAAAGAUUGAGCAUAUUUUUCUCCACAUUUUGUUGAAACGAUAAAUUUACUGUGUUUAUUUAAUUUUUCAUGUUUAUGAGUAAUUGUGAUUUUAUUUCUUCACUUGAGUAACGUGUAUAACAUUAUGAAGUGUGCAAUAAAAGACUUGAAGUAC
rnacentral:misc_RNA from 1 species